rfam:Ovis aries breed Texel chromosome 7, whole genome shotgun sequence.
UCCCUGGUGGCUCAGACGGUAAAGCGUCUGCCUGCAAUGCGGGAGACCAGGGUUUGAUUCCUGGGUUGGGAA